AAACACAUCUCUAGAAUGCAAGGUAUGUGUGGUUCUCUCUUCUUCUUGGGGGACCAUUCAUAAUUCCCUCUUUUGAAAUUUUCUCAAUCACUUGUCACGCGUUCAAGCCGUGGAAUCAGUUGAUACUGAUGUUUGUAUCAAGAUAGGUUUCUUAUGCGGUCCUACCCUCUUACUGAACAUAAAAUACUUCGUGUACCAGACUAUCCAUUUUUAAGUUAUAUGCAUAAAAUGAUUAAGUUACCUGUUACGACACAUUAAAAUUCAUUGAUAAGUGUGCUAGAGGCUUACUUAGCAUGUAAUGUUUAUAAGAGUCCUCGUGACUUUAGGUAAAGCUCAUUGCAUAUAUGACCAUGUUUUUGUUUUUGGUUCUCACCCGAUAUUUAGUGUCCGGUACCCACAUUAAUUAGAACCCAACUAAAUUUGGAUUCGGCCGGGAAGUCCACGUAAAGGGUAAAACGCUCCCUAACAAAGACGACUUAGGAACUCGAACUCGAGAUCAUUGGUUAAGGAGGAAGUACUUACCACUCCACCAUAAUCCUUGUUGGUUAUAUGAGUUAUGAUCAUGGUGAAGUUAGAUUUAACCCAAAAUGUACUAUUUUCAUGUUAUUGCUUGAUGCUUAUCGUAGAAAUUCACUUGUUAUUACCUUAUAAAUGACUUAAUCAUGUUUAUACUGUCGCAUAUAUAUAUAUAACUUAAACUCGUUGAAAA
rnacentral:misc_RNA from 1 species